rnacentral:misc_RNA from 1 species
GAUGAAGAACGUAGCGAAAUGCGAUAAGUAAUGUGAAUUGCAGAAUUCAGUGAAUCAUCGAAUCUUUGAACGCACAUUGCGCCCGCCAGUAUUCUGGCGGGCAUGCCUGUUCGAGCGUCAUUACAACCCUCAGGCCCCCGGGCCUGGCGUUGGGGAUCGGCGAGGCGCCCCCCGCGGGCACGCGCCGUCCCCCAAAUACAGUGGCGGUCCCGCCGCAGCUUCCAUUGCGUAGUAGCUAACACCUCGCAACUGGAGAGCCGCGCGGCCAUGCCGUAAAACACCCAACUUCUGAAUGUUGACCUCGAAUCAGGUAGGAAUACCCGCUGAACUUAAGCAUAUCAAUAAGCGGAGGA